CUAUUUUGAGGUGUUUGCACGAGUC
rnacentral:piRNA from 1 species